rnacentral:rRNA from 1 species
CCUACGGGAGGCUGCAGUGAGGAAUAUUGGUCAAUGGCCGGAAGUCUGAACCAGCCAAGCCGCGUGAAGGACGAAGGUGCCAAGCAUUGUAAACUUCUUUUGUCAAGGGACAAAAUCAGGCUCGAGAGCCUGACCGAGGGUACUUGAAGAAAAAGCAUCGGCUAACUCCGUGCCAGCAGCCGCGGUAAUACGGAGGAUGCGAGCGUUAUCCGGAUUUAUUGGGUUUAAAGGGUGCGUAGGCGGACUGUUAAGUCAGCGGUAAAAGCCCGGGGCUCAACCCCGGCGAGCCGUUGAAACUGGCUGUCUUGAGAGGGCGAGAGGUAUGCGGAAUGCGCAGUGUAGCGGUGAAAUGCUUAGAUAUUGCGCAGAACUCCGAUUGCGAAGGCAGCAUACCGGCGGCGAUCUGACGCUGAGGCACGAAAGCGUGGGUAUCGAACAGGAUUAGAUACCCUAGUAGUC